GGCAACCCGCUUGGGUCCUCUUCCACGCGGGGGAAGCUUUGUUCUUUCGCUCUUUGCAAUAAAUCUUGCUGCUGCUUACUCUUUGGGUCCACACUGCUUUUUUUGACCUGUAACACUCACCGCGAAGGUCUGCAGCUUCACUCCUGAAGCCAGCAAGAUCACGAGCCCACCAGGAGGAACGAACAACUCCAGAUGCGCCACCUUAAGAGCUGUAACACUCACCGUGAAGGUCUGCAGCUUCACUUCUGAGCCAGUGAGACCACGAACCUACCAGAAGGAAGAGACUUCGAACACAUCUGAACAUCAGAAGGAGCAAACUCCGGACACGCUGCCUUUAAGAACUGUAAUACUCACCGCAAGUGUCUGCGGCUUCAUUCUUGAAGUCAGUGAGACCAAGAACCCACCAAUUCCGGACACAAUCUCAGAGCACAAGAAUGGCUGGAAGUCCCUUCUCAGGGCAGCUGUUAUUACACUGCGCUCUCAAGCUAGCCAGAGCUUCCUCCAUCUGCCAGGGCAGGCAUUUGUCACAGCCCUUCAACACCUCUCCUGGAACUGAUAGACCCUGGGGCUGACCCAAAUCUGGACAAGCUAGAGCCCUUUGCCAAGAGGCAGCCCAGGAAGCCACACUUUCCACUGUGAUAGCAGCCUUUUCUGUCAGGGUGCUGAAGAUCAGCAUGUUCUAGGCCAACUGCUGGUGCCAGGAAUUUAGAGGGAAGGUUGGAAAGACUGACAGGAGCACUGACAACUGCACGGCCAUAAACCUAAGAGGAGCAGUACAAAGAAAGUGAACUGAAGAGAUGCCACCAUGGGAGUGAGAGAAAAUUGCUCCCAAGCUCCGUUCAUCCUGCAUUGCUUAAAAGCAGCAGCAGCACGGUGUGAACUAACCUGCUCUGAGGCAAACAGACCUUAUGGUUCACUUACAAUGCACAGGUCUUACAGCCCCAAAACUAUGAGGAAAGGCUGAGCCACAAUUAAUCAAGCCUCCUUCCCUUCUGUCUUGGAGAAUAUGCAUCGUGCACCAGUUGCUGAAAAAUGGCAACAUGGUAUAGUGAGAAGAACGUGGCUUCCAGACCAGAGAUCUGCCACUCAGCACUGGUGCAAUGGUGGACAAGUCACAUGGCCUUCAUGAGGCUUAGUUUUCUAGUCUCUAAAAUGAACAUUAUUACAAAUCUCACAACUUCGGAAGGUCUAAUUUCUAAAAUACAUGUGAAACCCUUUGUUUUUAUUAUUUUUCUAAAUAGAGACAGGGUCUUGCUAUGUUACCCAGGCUGGUCUUGAACUCCUGGCCUCAAGCAGUCCUCCCCUCUCAGCCUGCUAAAGUGCUGGGGAUUAUAGGACGUGAAACCCUUAGUAAGCUAAGUGCUAUAAAUGUUCACUGUUAUGACUUCUUUUAUAAGGAAAAAGAAAUGUCUCUGAUGGUUUUUUAAUACCCAGAAAUUACUACCUACUCAUUAAUGCUUCCUCUGAAAAAUAAAUGAAAAUCAUAAAUUUUUAAAUACAA
rnacentral:lncRNA from 1 species